CGUGCUUCCGUCGUUGACCAGGGUGGGGGGGUUGUUAAGGGAGGGGGGACGCGGGGGGGGUGGUAACUGAAGCUGUGGAAGGGAAAACUGCAGAGAAGCAGGGGACUACUCUAUACAAUAUUUUUUUUUUUUCCUGGAGGCUUUACCAUAUAUUCCUGAUUUCCUUUAUUGAAAUAACUGUACUGUAUUAAAAUGAGAGAAGCCUAAUCGGACAGAGGAAGCAGGUAUCUGUGAUCUCUGUGGAGAGAUGGUGUCAGCUGAACCUACACUACGGGACACUUAGAAGCCAGGAUAACCACAUUUCAAGCCGGGAUAACCUUCAGCGUUUCUCAAAAUGGAGGAUUUUUAAAAAAUCAGUUAUUCAUAAAUAUUAUUACCAAGACUGAAGAUCUUUAAAGUAUCAAGAUGUAUUGGUCUCUGUGAACUUAAAG
rnacentral:lncRNA from 1 species